GUUAAACGAUCUAUUAAUAUGCAUUGUGAAUUAAUUAUGUAUAAAUAAAAAUAAUUAGUAUUAUAAUUGAGUGCAGAACAUGUGAUGUAUUACACGUACACGAGUUGUGUAUGACGUAAGCAGAUGACUCCCGGAAGUGCAAGAGACGCACUGAACACGAGAUGAGAGCGAUACAGAAGGGAUUAAAAAGAAUGAUGAUUGCUGAUUUAAGCGUGGAUGCUAGCCGAUUGUGAAGCUCCUUUGAAUCUGAAGUGGGUGUUUGUCAAACUGUGAAACUCGGGAUUUGGUCAGGUUUAUUGGUUGAGUUGAGAACCUC